UCGAACGGCAGCACGGGGGCAACCCUGGUGGCGAGUGGCGAACGGGUGAGUAAUACAUCGGAACGUGUCCUGGAGUGGGGGAUAGCCCGGCGAAAGCCGGAUUAAUACCGCAUACGCUCUGAGGAGGAAAGGGGGGGAUCGCAAGACCUCUCGCUCAAGGGGCGGCCGAUGGCAGAUUAGGUAGUUGGUGGGGUAAAGGCCUACCAAGCCGACGAUCUGUAGCUGGUCUGAGAGGACGACCAGCCACACUGGGACUGAGACACGGCCCAGACUCCUACGGGAGGCAGCAGUGGGGAAUUUUGGACAAUGGGCGCAAGCCUGAUCCAGCAAUGCCGCGUGUGUGAAGAAGGCCUUCGGGUUGUAAAGCACUUUUGUCCGGAAAGAAAACUUCUGUCCUAAUACGGCGGGGGGAUGACGGUACCGGAAGAAUAAGCACCGGCUAACUACGUG
rnacentral:rRNA from 2 species